GUCUACGGUGGGUGGCUGGAGUUUCCAUUAGGCUCCUGAACUGACCUGGGAUCCGCCCCUGGGCAGGGCCAACUCCAGCUCCUGCACACCUGGAGCCUAUUGCAGGCUAUCAAGCCAGAGGGAUUUAAACCACACAUCGAUGUUCACUCACUGCCAGUUCGUCAUCAACCCAUGUUGGUAACAGGUCUUGUGUUUCAAAUUCUCGCUGUGAUUUAUCUUACUAACAAAGACUCUUUUGUACUACAGUUGCUGUACCCACCCUGGCUCACUCCACCUCCGGACUCGGGAUACCUAGUGAUCAUUUUGGAAAUCCCUCUGUGCCUCACCUGCCUGCCCUCCUGCCAUCACACUCCAUCUGGAGCCCCGGAUCUCAGGUCAGCCUUUCCACGCCACUCAGCCUCCCCUGGAUCUUCAUCAUCCCCCUCUCAAACACUCCAGGUCCCUAACUGCAAUGUGACUGUUCCCCACUCAGCUCCGUUCCACUUCUCAGGCCUCGUUCCCUCGCCCUAGCCACGUUCCCCUGGGCACGCCACACCAAGGCUCCACGUCUCGUCAUUUUCUGUCUUUGCCACGUUUCCCUUUUUUUCCCCCUUGCACUUAACCGUAAUAAACUGUUAAAUCAU